CUCUGCAGCUCCAAUUCCAUUAGAUUGCUGUAGAGAAGUUGGUUUGCCGUCAACUGUGGGAACUGAUGGCCAGGAGUGAGUGAUGGAGAUAGGAUCGGUGGGAAUAAAUUAACUCUCGAAAUUAAUGUAUUUACUCCCCAAGUGAACGAGCUCUGGGCUCUGAGUGGUUGGUGAUGAGGCUUUAAUGUCCAUAGUAGUUUGAUGAGAGUUCUUGAACAAUGAACUGGUGGGAGCGGCGCUUGUUGGCUUCGGGUCACUUUAGAGGAGGUAACCAUCGUAGCUUGUUGGGUUUUCUGGCACUGAAAUGUUGCUUCGAUUUCCUAUAGUAUUUUUAAUAUUCCUUUCAGUGCUAAAAAUCAAGUAUUUUUUGGGUAUGAAAAACAAAUUUUCCCCCAUGCUUUCUGUGUUGGAGAGGAGAUCUCUCUGCAAUGUUACCCUCUUUGGAGCUUGAAAGGUUGAGGCAGUUCUAUUGUGAUGCAACGACAAGUAUGUGCAUGGAGGAAGCCACAGAUGGCUUUGAGUCAUGUCUAUGCCGGUGACUAGGGCUUUCAGAGUCGAUGGUCUCUGCGUGUUGAGUAAGGGAUGUUCUUCUACUAAUAUCCUUUUUCCUUUGUCCUUCUUUAAUUCUUUAAUUAUUACUUUUUCUUUGUUGCUUUAGGCCUUCAGAUCUAGUAGAGUAGCUUCUGGACUUUUGUUGUUUUCGAUUUGUUUAUGGGUCAGGGGCAUUGGGAACAAGGGAGCCGAUACUGCCAUCAGAUUUUUUUGAUCGAUUAUGGUUAUGGGUUGUGGGCUAUCCUUGAGUAGAUCAUCCCUCUGUAAUUUUUCCAGUUGUGUUGUUCUCGGGAUGAUUGCUUGACCCUGUUGAGGUGGUAGGAUGAUUCCUGAGUUGUGAUUUUUGGCUCUAAGCCAAGGUCCGAAAGGUAGCUAGGUGGGAAUGACUUUUAGAAAAGUGUAAAAAAUCUGUGAGUGACCCAGCCUAACAUGCAUAACAAAAAUUCGAUAGCCUCUCAUAUUUGAAAGAGACUCAUGUGUCUAUGCUGUAGUCUCUUAGAAGCUAGAAACCUGUUUCAGUGGGUUUGUUAUGUCUAUUUUCACAUUGAUUCUUAUAAUUUUUUUGCAUGCUAUUCCAAAGUGUGGAUCUACUUCCACCUCCAUCAAAGUUCCAAGGGCUUUCCCAAUUUUUGUGGCAUUUGCAAUAGUCAUGUGAUCUAGUGUGAGGUCAUGUAUUUGCACAUGAAAAAUUGACGUAUUUAAACUUAUCUCAUGCCAUGUAGAUCCAGCAGGCCAUGGCUUUAGGAUGAGCAGGUGUCCUUGAAAUUCCAUGGGGCUUAACUGAUGAUUCUUUGUUUUUCCUGAACUGUCUGGAAAGUGAAGAGGAAAAGAUUUACAUCUAAAUCUCAAUGUGAAAUUUUUUGAUAAAAUUCCAGUUUCUGUGGCUGGAGCUAGAUUGAGGUCUUCCUAUAAUAAAACUUUUGUUUGUUGAAUUAGAGAGUCCAUCUCCAUGUCGCAUGUCUGAUCUCUGAAAACUGAGUUUGUAUUUUACUCCAUUAAAGGAGUGGGAAUUCACUAUGAGGUGCAGAGAGUCUCCGGAAAGAGAGAGGAGUGAUCAUACAAUCUUGAAAUUAUUUGCAAUCCAUACAAGGAAUUUUAAUUCCAUCUUUUUCCAAGA